rnacentral:rRNA from 1 species
UACGAAGGGGGCUAGCGUUGCUCGGAAUCACUGGGCGUAAAGCGCACGUAGGCGGCUUUUUAAGUCAGGGGUGAAAUCCUGGAGCUCAACUCCAGAACUGCCUUUGAUACUGAAGAUCUUGAGUUCGGGAGAGGUGAGUGGAACUGCGAGUGUAGAGGUGAAAUGCGCAGAUAUCAGGAGGAACACCGAUGGCGAAGGCAGCUCGCUGGGACGGUACUGACGCUGAGGCGCGAAAGCGUGGGAGCAAACAGG